GGGAUCAUUACACAAAUAUGAAGGCGGGCUGGAACCUCUCGGGGUUACAGCCUUGCUGAAUUAUUCACCCUUGUCUUUUGCGUACUUCUUGUUUCCUUGGUGGGUUCGCCCACCACUAGGACAAACAUAAACCUUUUGUAAUUGCAAUCAGCGUCAGUAACAAAUUAAUAAUUACAACUUUCAACAACGGAUCUCUUGGUUCUGGCAUCGAUGAAGAACGCAGCGAAAUGCGAUAAGUAGUGUGAAUUGCAGAAUUCAGUGAAUCAUCGAAUCUUUGAACGCACAUUGCGCCCUUUGGUAUUCCAAAGGGCAUGCCUGUUCGAGCGUCAUUUGUACCCUCAAGCUUUGCUUGGUGUUGGGCGUCUUGUCUCUAGCUUUGCUGGAGACUCGCCUUAAAGUAAUUGGCAGCCGGCCUACUGGUUUCGGAGCGCAGCACAAGUCGCACUCUCUAUCAGCAAAGGUCUAGCAUCCAUUAAGCCUUUUUUUCAACUUUUGACCUCGGAUCAGGUAGGGAUACCCGCUGAACUUAAGC
rnacentral:rRNA from 1 species